rnacentral:lncRNA from 1 species
CUAUACUAUGUGCAUGUAUGAACACACCACAGUGAAUCUCAUUUUAUGUGUAUCUAUAGUAAAAAUAAUGUGUUUUGAUUCAUGUGUACAUGAGACAAGGGGCAACCCUAGAUAGUUAGUAUAUUCAUCAUUUAAACAACAAUCAUUUCUUUAUAAUGAAUACAUUGAAAAUCCUCUCUUCUAAGAAUUUUGAGGUAUAUUAUGCAUUAUUGUUAGCUGUAUUUACCCCACUGUGCCAUAGAAUAAGAGAACACAUCCUUCCACUGCCUGACUCUGUCAUUGCUCUCAUAGGAAGGGUCCUGCUUCUAUGUCAGCUUGGUGUCCAUGACACCUACCGAAGUGUUUGGCUAGAAAGGCCCCCGGAGACAUAGGCACAGUGUACAAGAAUGAUAACACUCAUUAUUGGUGUUGUCAAUGGUGAGUUGGUGUCUACUUAUCAUUUGUUCUGGGUGGUUAUUUUUAUACUCUAGAUAGCAUCUUUGAAGUGAUAACAAUAUAUAAAAGUUAAAUAGAUAGUGAUUCUUAGGUUUCAUGCACCAGAAAAGGAGGAUUGGACGAGCCUAUUAAAGGGUGAUAGUAGGAAUCUUGGGUGAUGGAACAAUUCUGUAUUUUGAUGUUAUCAGUGUUGAUAUCAUGGGUGUGAUAAAGUCCUCUAGUUUUGUGGGUUUAUGAACAGUGCAUGGAUCUCUUUGUGUCCUUUCUUGCACAUGCAUGCUCAUCUACGAUUGAUCACAAACAAAAUGUAAUAAAAACCUGUAAAUGAGAAAAGUUAACAAUACAGGAAUAAGCUUUUCUCUAGGAGUAGGAACCCUGACAACUUUCCUUUUUCUCCUUGUAUUUCUUUCCUACUUCCUCCACAUAUUUUUUCACAAUCUCAUGCUUUGUAAGGUGUGUGAAACUUAAAAAUCAC